rnacentral:rRNA from 1 species
CGUAGGGGGCUAGCGUUGUCCGGAAUCAUUGGGCGUAAAGCGCGUGUAGGCGGCCUUGUAAGUCCGUUCUGAAAGCCCGGGGCUCAACCCCGGGAGGCGGAUGGAUACUGCAAGGCUCGAGUUCGGAAGAGGCGAGUGGAAUUCCCGGUGUAGCGGUGAAAUGCGCAGAUAUCGGGAGGAACACCAAUGGCGAAGGCAGCUCGCUGGGACGACACUGACGCUGAGACGCGAAAGCGUGGGGAGCAAACAGGAUUAGAUACCCUGGUAGUCCACGCCGUAAACGAUGGACACUAGGUGUGGGGGGUGUCGACUCCCUCCGUGCCGAAGCUAACGCAUUAAGUGUCCCGCUUGGGGAGUACGGCCGCAAGGCUA